rnacentral:rRNA from 1 species
UGGGGAAUUUUGGACAAUGGACGCAAGUCUGAUCCAGCCAUGCCGCGUGCGGGAAGAAGGCCUUCGGGUUGUAAACUGCUUUUGUACGGAACGAUAAGGCUCUGGUUAAUACCUGGGGCUCAUGACGGUACCGUAAGAAUAAGCACCGGCUAACUACGUGCCAGCAGCCGCGGUAAUACGUAGGGUGCAAGCGUUAAUCGGAAUUACUGGGCGUAAAGCGUGCGCAGGCGGUUAUGUAAGACAGAUGUGAAAUCCCCGGGCUCAACCUGGGACCUGCAUUUGUGACUGCAUAACUAGAGUACGGCAGAGGGAGGUGGAAUUCCGCGUGUAGCAGUGAAAUGCGUAGAUAUGCGGAGGAACACCGAUGGCGAAGGCAGCCUCCUGGGCCAGUACUGACGCUCAUGCACGAAAGCGUGGGGAGCAAACA